AAACUUUGAAAAUUAUGAUGGUGCAGUGGGAUUUGUAAAUGUACAUAGCAAUCACUGGAAGUUUGUGUUUCUUCAUGCCAUGUUAGAGCAAUUAUUUGUUGUUGACUCAGCUGAUGUCUCGAAUGACCUCAAGGACUCAAAAUAGCCGCCACACGUUUUCGACAAUAUUUCAAGACACGAUUCAAUUUACAUGGCAAAAGGGACUGGUUGAAUAUAAAAUGGAAACCAAGCACCAUUGACCAUACAGUGCAGCAAGAUACAACAAGUUGUGGGGUGUUUGUUGCGCAGG